GAGGNGGAAGGCCCCACACUGGACUGAGACACGGCCCAGACUCCUACGGAAGGCAGCAG
rnacentral:rRNA from 1 species